UGACCUUCUUGCAUCAAUACAGCUCCAAUGCCUACAUUACAGGCAUCAGUUUUGUCACACCUCCUUUUUCCCGAAGGUAUAGGGAGUUUUUCCAAUUAAAGUGACAUAAAUCGAAAUGGAAUUAUUUAUUCAUUCAGAGUCGCCACUUGGAAUAAUUUACGGUGUCCCAAGUUACCGGUUCAUUUUAGAAUCCCAAAUCGAGAAAAUUUGACUCUAUUUUUUGGUCUGCGAAUACAGAAGACUGGGUAAGGAAUUCUGUUAAUCCGGGAGAAGGUGUGAGGCACUCCCGGAUUCUGUGAUUUUAGCACGGUCGUUUAACUAUUAAUAAUUGGUCUAAUUAUCUGAUUUAGACAUAUUUAAAAUCUAUUGUGCAUUUUUAUCUUCUAACCGCUUUUAAUUAUUUAUGAAAUUAUUUUUGGAACAAGUCACGAUGUCGUACACUUGCCGUUUUGAUACACAUUGCAAACCGCGCCACAUGAAAUGCACCCGCGAUUUACGACAUAUUUAUUUUUAUUAUUAUUCGAAAUUAUGAUCGGGUCACAUGAAAUACAUACCCGAAUCGGGGAUUAUGUGUCAUGACUAUGCCACGGGAACCGUACCUAUAAUCACAAUUAUUUAAUAUUAAUUUCGACUAAAGAAAGCUACGAUGUUUGAAGUAAUCCUAUACAUUGUUUGAGAUGAUUGUAAACAGUUGUAGAUCAUGGAAUUCGUUUGUUGCUUUAACUUGACAAAGAAUUAUAAAGUUCUGCCUUCCAUUUUAAAAGGAAACGAAGGUUAUUAAUAACCAAGUUUCAGACAUACUCAUCAUCUGGGAUUAAGUUUCAUAUGAUGCCCAAUAUAAUAAAAGGGAAAUCAAUUCAAAAAGGGUUCAACUACAUGAAUUUUCUAGACCCCAUGCUCAUUAAUUCCUAACAUAUUUUCGUGUAUUUGGCCAAACCCAAUUCCUAAAGCAUGCGUAAAAUAUUUAAUUAUCUAAUGGGCUGGCCAACCCAAACCCACAACCCGAGUCAUUAAGACAAAAUCAAAUAAACAUACAAAGACCAAAUAGCUAGAACAAAGAAACGAGAAAAUGACAGUAGACAAAUAUAACAAGAUAAUAUGACGAGAGCCAUCAGAUUUCCGUUUGAACCCAACUGCCACCCACUUAUUCUAAAUGACUCAAAACAUUCCAAGGAUUUCAAGCUUAGUCACUUAGCACGUACGGUACUACUUUAUCAAUAAGAAACCACUUCCUCAACAAGAAAACCAAUAUAUUUACGUGCCAUGGAAAGAUAAUCUAUAUGAUCUAACUUAAACACAUUAAGAGCGCACCUCAAUACAUGUUUAAAAGGAAGAACCUGCACAUAACUAUCCCAGGAAUUAGACUUACGAAAUUGGGACAAACAUAUGAACUAUCAAACCAAUAUUCAGAGACACACAUAAUAAGAAAGCUAAUGGAUUGCCAUUUCAGUUGAAACUUACUAGAAAACUCAUGAACAUCACAAGGGAAUCCCUCAAAAAGAAAGUAUACAGCCUGCUUGAUUCAUGAAGCUAUUUCACCACUAUAUCUAGCAUAUGACCUCAAUUAAAGCAGCAAGCAGUCACUUGAAAUUUUAGGAUUUGAAUUGCGCAAUAUUUCAUUAUUGUUACGCCUUUAGGAGAGAAACUGCAUAUACCGAGCAAGAGUCCAAAUAUUUUCGUACAAAACUCAAAGAGUGAAGCCGAAUAAUCAAGAACUAUCAACAAGACGCAGUUCCUCUAUAAACACUCACAAGUUCAUCAAAACCUCAGUCCUUUAUAUCGAAAACAGACAUAUCUGAGUUUAAACGAUGUCUAAAUGAACUAAGGAAGCUAAAUGCUCUCAUAUAUGACAUGAAAAUUCAAUCAGACCAGCUCUUAAAAUUCGAUUUCAAUUUGCCCUAGGAGAAACAAACAAUCAAUUUAAAUAAUGUUUCACCGAUCAUUUAAACCGUCAAAAAUAGACGUCGAUCUAAUAUUUAAUACACGGUCAUCAAUCUGACAUCAAAAGAUCAAACAAGCUGAUUGCGGCAAAUGAGAUCAAAUUUCACAAAAAAUAUUAAAGUGACUAAACCGAUCAGUAGCAGAUAAAGAACAUUAGGGAAGAACCAACAAAGACACUCCAACAUACUUAUGAAAUCAUAGAGGGGGCAUUCGACUGAUUCAUGACUCACUUGCUAAUUAUACAACUAACCAACUCAAGUCGAACAUAUCGAAAACUAAGCAUUUAGGUCGGGAACAAUUCGAUAGAACACUAAGACGAUUUUCAUGAAUGAAAAAGAAGCAUACUCGAGUCAAUUCCUAACACCCAAGUCUCGUCAUAUUUAAAUCCACACAAAAAAAAAACAGAAUGAGAAAGCAACUAUUUUCAAGCUUCAUGUAUAUAACCAUGGAAGAACAGAUGCUCAGCUACAUACCUGAUGAUAGCAAAAAUAUACAAAGAAAAUAAAUCUCUGAAUGUUGAGGAAAAUAUCAGCACGAACAGCAGAAACCAAACCAAAACAGCUUCAAAAGGCCACUUCCAAAAUCCAAAGAGAACCCAGAAAAACUACUGAAAUAGUAUGAAUUCGAAUCUCUUUUUUUUUUUUAAACUGUUUUUUUUUUAGUUUUUUAAGAUAUUUUCUGAACCAAAAUGAGAAUGGGGAAUUUUUUUUUUUUUGAAAGAAAAGUGGAGAGUCAGAAGAUCCUUCUUUCUUUCCAAAAAUGCAUAGCAUCCAAAA
rnacentral:lncRNA from 1 species